CUGCUAAAAGUAAUCACAUCUAUGCUAAGUGUCACUAAACUGAGAUAACAGCCUUCCCUCUUUCCUCGUGCCUUCCAUAAGGGAUGAGUAAAGUAACAGAAUGUUUUAGGAAGAAGGGAAGCUUAUUACAGAUAGUUCCAUCUCUAACCUUAUAAGUAUGCAGGAUAUUCUAGAACACCAAGGAAACCAUUGUUUUUUGCCUUGGAGAAUCAACACUAAUAUGAUCAUGCAGAUGAAGGACAUAAGAAUAACAAAUAAAACCCUACAGAAUCAAAAAACAAACAAACAAACCUGCAAGAGAACUCACAGUAGAAAAGUCUCGGACUACAGAAUCAGGAGCCCAGGAUUUUAAUUCUAGCUUUCUCAGGAAAGCUUAAUAACCCAGGUGAAUUUCUUCAUUACAAAUCCUCUUUAUCACCUGCCAGGUAUACAACUACCACAGGUAAG